AAUAACAAAGGCAACAACCAGUCCCGGGGAAUUGCGUUAGAUCUUAAGAAAACCAAUGUUUUGACGACUAACAACGGCUAAUACAUAUUGCAAAAUGUAAAUCUGAAAUAUAUUGCAGGCAUAUCAAAUCGUAAGGAACUAACAUAAAAUGAUGGUAUUUUCGCAGCUGACUUCUUGAAAAAAACUGCAGAUACGAGUCUGGAACUUGGUGUAAUGUGUUCCAAGAGAUGUCUUUCUUCAUACAAGUGUGGAAACCUUGCAUUACACAAAGCAAUAUCCUGGAGGCCUUGAACUUUUCGAUUAAUCCUAGUACAUUUUUUCUGAUCGGAACUGAGCAAAGGAUAAAUGGAUUGCUUUACACUCACAAAAGACAAGAACUUUUCACAUACGAACUGCUGGAUAAAAAGCAAGGAAGCAUAUAUAAUAUAUUCCUUGUGAACAGUUACCACAAAGUGAUCUGCUUUUCCUGGCACAGUGGGUUGAAAUUCCAUGAUCAAGAGUGAGUCAACAAUAUUCAGAAUGUGUGCUGCUUUGUGUUUAUAUUCAAAUGCACCUCGAACUGUUGAGGAUAGUUCAUGAUCAAUACGAAGUCCAGACAUGAAGUGCAGCCAUCGAUGACAGAAAAAGGUGCAAGGUAUCUCAUCUUGUUUAGUUUAAACAUAUUUUAAUCAGAUUGAAAUGGAUUGGGAACAAGCUAUCUAACUUAGGACACCCCCCUCCAUAAAUCUUAUCUUAUCAUAUCGUGUGACAAGUAAAUUGAUGUCCGCUAACAAAGAAAUGCAACCUAUUUUCAACAAACGUGAAUACAGGUUGUGUCACACCAUUUCCUAGAAAAAAAAACAAGCACACAGAUAACAUAUUUACAAAAUGGUAAUGUUUUCUUUAAAAAAUGCCACUAGGCUCGGAGCUCACCUGAGUCUUUUGAGGAAUAUUUUAUGAAACCUGAAAGGAUGUGCAAUUGAAACAGAAAAUCUCUACUAAGCAGACAUCCUCCCAACAAGUUCACUAGAUUACCGAUUGGUACAAACACAGCCGGAGAUGAAGAGUAAACAUGUUCAUCACCAUCACACUAUUAAGAGCCACAGGUAACUAUGAACUUCUGACUGAUAUUUUUCCAUCUCGUGGCCUUUCACCUUUCUAUUUCAGUGCAUGUGCCCAAAGAAUUCCUCAGGUCCAUUGUAGGAUACCUUCUGAGUCAAACUCAAGUAUCCAUAUCAUCAACCAAGAAGUUUCAGAGGAGAUUUCUAAAUACAGUCACACGAGAAAAACAGGGACAUGUGUUAGUUGGAUCAAAAGUCAAAUUAUGCAAGAUAAUUAUCGUAUGUUAUUCCUCAUUCCACAUACAUGCUUCAUAUCAAAUUACAUGACAAUAUAUAAAAAAAAUUAGGGCAACAAUGAUAUUUUCAAUAAAGCAUCUGUGACAGCCAUGCUUAAAAUCAAAUAUUGUAAUAUAUCAAAUAAUUCUGUGAGCAUCUUUUAGAGUCACAAUAACUGGAAUCAUUCAUGCAAAAUUUCAGUUUAA